AAAACAUAAUCCAUACUCAAUAAACCACCACCCUACCCUACCCUACCCUACUCCCACCACACCUUACUCCCUAGUCCUACCUGCAUAUCCUACGUCCAACCUACCCUCCCAUAUCUUGAAGAUUUGCUUGAUUAAAUCUUGCCCAUGUUUUGAUGAUGACCAUUAGAUAUUUGGGUUUUUGUUUUUUUUAUAUAUUUAUGGUUUUACAUAAAAACCAUAUCCAUUAGAAACAACACCACAAAAACACAUUAGCCCUUUCAUCCAUUUCUAUCUUACGGUUACACACAUCCUCACACACAUAAGGUUGAAUCUUCAAGUUCAAGCAUCUCACUAUCUUGUUUCUACUCUACUCUAAGUUGGACACCUAUAGGUCAUCACGCAAUCGCGGGCUUUAUUUGUCUUUGAUUGGUAAUUGGAGUAAUUGCUUUGCUGAUCAGGUUGCAUUUUUCAAAACUACGGAACGGUUGGAAUAGAAGAACCCACGG